UUAAAACAAAUUGAAAUAAAAAGAUUAUAGUUGUGUAAAAAGAGGCUUCUUCUUCUUCUUCUUCUUCUUUUAAUUCUCUACAUACAAAAAGCUAAUGGUCAAUGUGAAUGUUGGCAUGUCAAAUUGUUCUUCCACUACUAACAAUUCUUCAAUUUCAAGGCAUUGUGGCAAACAGAAGAUAUUGAGUCAUCCACUAUGAGUGAGAGAGGGAGAUUCUGCAGCAAAAUAAGACUAUGGACUAAAUUUUCAAAAUAAGUCAAGUUUGAUUUAUACAAGCUCGUUCAGAAAAGUUUAGGGACCGGGAUGAUCCUUCACUUCAACUAUUGUUAGUCAGCAACAAAUAAAAUUGUAAAAGUUGAUUCUUCUUUCAUUUGGCAACAUUUACAAUCACAAUAAAAAAACAUUUUACACCAAAAGAAUUCUCAUAUCUAUUCUUCUAUAUUUGUAUAGUUCUGUACCUAUGCAU